rnacentral:lncRNA from 1 species
CGGUUUGGGUGUGGCCGCAUGGCGUGCUGUGGUGCAGGUGGCCGAAGGGGGCGUUACUGUUGCGACUGGCAUCCGCAUCCGGCAGAUGUAGAUGGAACCAAAGUCCAGAAGUUACGCGUCACCCUUGCUCUACAGCCAAACAUGCAGGACUCUAGUAACCCGCGAAAUGAUGGGAUAGCGUUGCAAAUCCUUAAAAGAGUCUUAACGAAAUCCUGGCUGACAUUGACUUCUCCACUGCAACCAUCGAGUUCAUUGUCUCCUAAACCUUGCCAUGGAGGCCUGUGGCACCUGAGCCAGCCAUUAUCAUCACCAGCACUUCCAUGAGCUACAAGCUGGACCCACUGCAGUCCUCCUGACACACUGAAAUCAGAGCCUGCACACAGAGCAGCAGAUGCUUCAAUGUAAAGGUCAUUUCCAGGUCCUUGACAGGCGUGCAUCUGGGCCAGAUCCAUGGCAAUAACCUUCAGGUUGAGGCUAGAGGGCUUCAGAUGGGCAGCUUCGAAUGACAGGAGCAAGGCACAAGAGGCCGGAAAGGGAGGGUGACAUUUUCAGCAUCUAUAAGAUCAACUUUAGAAACAUUUGGGGGUUGACAAAUUCCCAUCAAGCUCUGUGGAUCUUGUACAACUGCUCACCACCGGCUUCUCAUCAGCACAUGAUUGGUGCAGGGUUCUGAGGAUGAUUUUGAGAUGUUCCCUGAUGUGGUCUUGUGAGGAGAUUUCAUGACAGAUGGCAGGAAGCUUCGUGGAGAGAUUUCUGAAGACACUCCUGAGCUCCCAACACCGGGCAACUCUCUUCCAGAGGAUAGUGGGGUGGAGGGUAGAAGAGAGGCAAAGUCAGCUAUGUGUUCCAAGAUUACUGAAGCAGGAUUCUGGCCUUCCUGAUAAGAACAUGACCAGAUCCAGCUGGUUUGCAACAAGAUGAACUUCAGUGCUGAGCUUUCACCAAGUUUUUCUCACUACAAUCUCAUUGUAAUACUAAAAUCUCCACCCAAGAUGGAGGUUAUCUGCCAUUUUCUGUACAUGUGUUACCAGAAAGGGGUCCUGAUCCAGACCCCAAAAGAGGGUUCUUGGAUCUCACGCAACAAAGAGUUCGGGGCGAGUCCAUAGAGUAAAGUGAAAGCAAGUUCAUCAAGAAAGCAAAGGAAUAAAGAAUGCCUACUCCAUAGGCAGAGCAGUGGCUUUGGCUGCUCAGCUGCUUGUACUUGUUACUUCUUGAGUAUAUGCUAAACAAGGGAUUGAUUACUCCUUGUUUAGCAGUUUUCUGGGAAAGGAGUGGGCAAUUCCCAGAACUGAGGGUUCCUCCCCUUUUUAGACCAUAUAGGGUGACUUCCUGAUGUUGCCAUGGCAUUUGUAAACUGUCAUGGCGCUAGUGGGAGUGUCUUUUAGCAUGCUAAUGCAUGAGCAGUGAGGAUGACCCGAGGUCAUUUUUGUUACCAUCUUGGUUUUGGUGGGUUUUGGCUGGUUUUGGCCGGCUUCUUUACCACUUCUUUUUAUCAGCAAGGUCUUUGUGACCUGUACUUAGUGCCGACUUCCUGUCUCAUCCUGUGAGUAAGAAUGCCUAAUCUCUCAGGAAUGCAGCCCAGUAGGUCUCAACCUUAUUUUACCCAGCCCCCAUUCAAGAUGGAGUGACUCUGGUUCAAAUGCCUCUGACACAUGUGCCUCAUGUUUGGGCAUGAGACCUCACUGUGUAGGUGCAGAGAAGACCCUGCCUAAACAUUGCCUACACGUUGCUCCUUUUUCCUGCCUCAACUUCCUUAAAAUGACAAGAGCAGAGCCCUUUUGGGAGCUAACAUCAGGACUCCUUUUCUGUACUCUGCUCCGUUGUGCUGCUAGAGCCACAAGCCUAUUAAACUUUGCCUGAAAUAAAUUCCUAUUUGCGCUGGUGUUAAUUUUUACUUAUGAGUGAGCCAAGAACUCAGGCCAGAGUUGCGGUAACACCACCAGAAGAGGUCUCCGCUUGUCAGACUUGAGGGAUAUCAUCAAUGAGCCUCUGAGCUAAUGGUGUAAACCAAAAAUAAAAUUCUAAGCCCCCCGCCAGCCAAACCAUCUGAAUGGACUUCCUCCUCAGCCAGGGUGCUCUUAAAAUUUAAC